rnacentral:snRNA from 1 species
CCGCAAGUACCAUGCUUCU